rnacentral:lncRNA from 1 species
CUCUCUCUCUCUCCUGCUGCAUUGUGAAGAAACUGCUUGCUUCCCUCUCACCCUCUGCAGUUUCCUGAGGCCUCCCCAGCCAUGCGGAACGGCCAGAUGCAGUGCCUCAUGCCUGUAAUCCCAGCACUUUGGGAGGCUGAGGGAGGAUUGCUUGAGGUAAGGAGUUCGAGACCAGCCUGGGCAAUACAGUGAAACCUCAUCUCUAUAAAAACUUUUUUAAAAUUAGCCAGGUGUGAUGGUGCACACCUGUGGUCCCAGCUACAUGGGAGGCUGAGCCAAGAGGAUCUCUUGAGGCCAGGAGGUUGAGGCUGUAGUGAACUAUGUUCAUACCACUGCACUCUAGCCUGGGUAACAGAGUGACACCAUCUCAAAAGAAAAAUUUUGAUGAGAAUUAUUGGAAUAAAUCUGUUAGUUAUGAUACAUAUGGAGAGAGAGGGGGAGAGAGAUAAUUGAUUAUUGGAUUCUCUUUGUUUUAGAAUUUUAUUUAUUUAUUGACAGAGUCUCACUUUGUCACCCAGGCUGGAGUGCAGUAGUGCGAUCUUGGCUCACUGCAACCUCCAUCUCCUGGGUGCAAGCGAUUCUCCUGCCUCAGCAUCACAAGAGCUGAGAUUACAGGCGCACACCACCACGCCCGGCUAAUUUUUUGUAUUUUUAGUAGAGACGGGGUUUCACUAUGUUGGCCAGGCUGGUCUUGAACUCCUGAUCUCUAGUGAUCUACCCACCUCAGUCUCCCAAAGUGCUGGGAUUACAAGUGUGAACCACUGUGCCCGACCAGUUUUAGAAUUUUAAAUGUAGUUAUAAAUAAAA